UGGAAUUCUACUUAGUGGCAGACGGGUGAGUAACACGUGGGUAACCUACCUCGAGGACUGGGAUAACAGUUAGAAAUGACUGCUAAUACCGGAUAAUUCAUAUUUAGAUAACUAGAUAUGCUAAAGGAGCUUCGGCUUCACCUAGAGAUGGGCUUGCGUUGUAUUAGCUUGUUGGUGGGGUAAUGGCCUACCAAGGCAACGAUGCAUAUCCGAGCUGAGAGGCUGAUCGGACACACUGGGACUGAGACACGGUCCAGACUCC
rnacentral:rRNA from 1 species